AUGGAGUGCCUUGCCGAGAUGCCGCAUGCGCCGCUCGACCGCCGCCCGCGCAAGCGGCAGCGCCUUGGCUGGGAUGUCGGCCCCGAGAUCCCUCAGCUAAAAAAACUGUGUGGGGAAGAAGUCGCAAAUGUAAUUAGUGCUAUGACAAUGGGGCUAUCUUCUGGUGGUAUUGUUUCCUCUCAGGAGACCCAAGGGCUUUUUCGUUUUGUGACGCCUCCUCUGAGAGAAGAUGACAAGGAUGGACAUUAUGUUUUUGCUGUUGGAGACAACCUGACAUCACGCUAUAGGAUUAAUGCAAAAAUGGGUGAAGGUACCUUUGGUCAGGUGUUGGAAUGUUGGGACAGGGAACGGAAAGAAAUGGUUGCUAUUAAGAUCAUCAGAGGAAUUAAGAAGUACAGGGAUGCUGCAAUGAUAGAAAUUGGCAUGCUCGAGCAGCUUUGUAAAUAUGAAAAAAGCAGAUCCAGUUGUGUUCAAAUUCGGAACUGGUUUGACUAUCGUAACCAUAUCUGUAUUGUCUGUGAGAAGCUUGGGCCAAGCUUAUAUGAUUUUCUGCGGAAAAACAGUUACCGCUCAUUCCCAGUUGCCAUAGUUCGGGAGGUUGCCAAACAACUGUUGGAAUGUCUAGCAUUUAUGCAUGAUUUGCGCCUCAUUCACACUGAUUUAAAGCCCGAGAACAUUCUUCUUGUUUCUCCGGAGUACAUUAAAGUUCCUGAUUAUAAAGUUUCAUCCUGUUCACCGAAGGAGGGAUCCUACUACAAGCGUGUGCCCAAGUCCAGUUCAAUAAAGGUUAUUGAUUUUGGCAGCACAACAUAUGACCAGCAGGACCAGACCUAUGUCGUUUCUACUAGGCAUUAUCGUGCUCCGGAAGUUAUCCUGGGACUUGGAUGGAGUUACCCAUGUGAUAUCUGGAGCGUUGGGUGUAUACUAGUUGAACUCUGCACGGGAGAGGCGCUGUUUCAAACCCAUGAAAAUUUGGAGCAUCUUGCUAUGAUGGAGAGGGUGCUUGGGCCGUUGCCAUAUCACAUGCUCAAGAAGGCCGAUCGACAUGGUGAGAAAUAUGUGAGGAAGGGCCGUUUAAACUGGCCUGAAGGAUGUGCUUCACGGGAAAGCAUGAAAGCUGUCAUGAAGCUGCCUCGGCUUCAGAAUCUGGUGAUGCAAAACGUAGAACAUUCUGCUGGGGACUUCAUCAAUCUUUUGCAAGGGCUGCUGAGUUAUGAUCCAGCAAGCCGCCUAACGGCCCAAGAGGCCCUUGAGCAUCCAUUCUUGACGGAGCUGAGUGAGCGAAGAAGAUGA
rnacentral:rRNA from 1 species